GGCAAGUCAUCACUAUGAUUGGGAAAGAAGCCAAAAUUAUAAUAAAAUGAAAACCUGUGCAUCAAAUCUGAAGGAUGAGUAUAAAAUAGGAUAAACAGUCUUAAAUGAAGAAAUUCAAAAAUAGGAAGCUGAAUUACUUCUCUGAGGAUGUCUUGUCACUAAAACAUGGAGAAUCCAACCUACCCUGCGUAGUUGUGGAAUCCCUCAGAUGACAGCAGUGAAGGUGAUCCCUAGGCAUGCUAAAGGCAGAGAAGCACUGGUCUAAACUGCAGACAUGGUUUUGGGGAUAUGAAGAAAGAAGAGAUAUCAGAGAUAUUUAGCAGAUUAUUAAUGAAGAUGUUAAAUAAGAAGAAAGCAACAUCCUUCCCCAUGUACUGCAGUUGAAUUACUAAUCACUUCACGAAUGCUGAAGAAAGCAUUUUAAAAAAGUUUUUUCUGCAAUAUAUACAACCUACACUGAAAAAUCUUAAGCUAUAUGUACUUCAUUCAAUUCAUUCAUGCAUACGAAUAUUCAAAACCUUCAUUUAAGCUCAAAGGCCAUGGAGAUAAAAAAGAAGACAAAUUAACCAGUUGACAAGGACCUAGCUGUCCAAUGUGUUGACUUUGUUGUUACACAAUAUAGUCAAUUCUCAUUAUUCACCAAUUCUGUGUUUGCAAAUUCCCCUAUUUACAAAACUUUAUCUGUAAACCCAAAACUAAUACUCACAAUGCAUCCAUAGACGUGUGCAGAGCAGUGGAAAAUUUGAAAAGUUGCCUGAUGCUCACAUUUUCAGCUAAGGUGAACUUUGCCUGCUUGUCUCAGUUCUCAUACUAUAAACAAGCAUCCUUUUUGCAGAUUAUUUAGUGCCUUUUUUUUUUUUUUUUGCAUUUUUGUGUUUUUGUUGGUGAUUUCGAUGUUUAAAAUGGGCCCCAAGUAUAGUGCUGAAGUGCUGUCUGGUGUUCUUAAGCACAGAA
rnacentral:lncRNA from 1 species